rnacentral:snoRNA from 1 species
UGUCCCUGGCCUCGGCAGAGUGGCAUCUGGCUGGUGGUGUCCACCUCAUAUGAGUCAGGGACAAAGCAACCCCUUCUUCAUCCCAGCCUGGCUUUUGGACAGCGCCCUUGCCUGGUUCAUGCCCUGGACACAUGG